rnacentral:rRNA from 1 species
UACGAGGGGGGCAAGCGUUGUUCGGAAUUACUGGGCGUAAAGGGCGCGUAGGCGGAUAGUUUAGUCAGAGGUGAAAGCCCAGGGCUCAACCCUGGAAUUGCCUUUGAUACUGGCUAUCUUGAGUUCGGGAGAGGUGAGUGGAACUCCGAGUGUAGAGGUGAAAUUCGUAGAUAUUCGGAAGAACACCAGUGGCGAAGGCGACUCACUGGCCCGAUACUGACGCUGAGUCUCGAAAGCGUGGGGAGCAAACAGG